rnacentral:lncRNA from 1 species
CCACGUGCACCACUCCAUUCCUGGAUGCACUUGCUCCCAGAGCAUCUCUGAAUGCAUACCUCCUCUCUGCUCUCCAUUUCCAGACAGCUAAGUAACCAUUCUGAACUCUGUAAUUUUCCUCUCAUGGUGGCUUUUUUCUCCUUGGCACUUUUGCAAGUUCUGUUCCUUCUGCCUGGAAUGCUCUUGUCAUCCUCAUUUCCCACACCUCUAUCUUGUCUGCCUCACUAAAUUCUAUGCUUAUCAUCAACCUCCUUGUGAGUCUAUCUCAGCUACCCCAAAGAGAGAAUUAGGUAUGUUUUUCCCAGUAAUACCUCCCAAUCUAUGCAUAAUUUUAUCACUGCAGAGGACAAAAUAUAUUGCAUCCAUUUGUUUACAUGUCUUUGUCUAUUGAUUAGUAAUGUUCAAAAUGGGUGCAGGGAGAGGAAGAUGGGGAGAAGUUAUUUUUAAUAUAAUGGAAAGAAUUCAGGGCACCAUAAAGAGACAGACAGGUAUUAGCCUGCAUUUAUAAAAUCUUGUUGUAUGACCUAAACAAGUUCUUUCUCCUCUGUAAGACAUUGUUUCUUCAUGGAACUUUUAAUUAAAGUCUUGUUAUUUAGAUUAAAUGUACAGUAUGGAAAGUGUUUUUCAGAGAACACAUAAUAGGUGUUCAAUAAAUGAAGGGAAGAUGCUGACAAUCAUGAUGGCAGACUCCUUUCAAAACUAGUCUGCAUCUUUUACUCUCUUUCCAGGAUUAUCUACUCAGGUCAAAUGAACAUUUCCGUUAAGUUUUAAAGUGUUGACAACAUAAAAGGUGAUCAUUUUCUCAGUGAGGCAAUCGCCUUCACUG